rnacentral:rRNA from 1 species
UACGAAGGGGGCUAGCGUUGUUCGGAAUCACUGGGCGUAAAGCGCACGUAGGCGGCUGGGCAAGUCAGGGGUGAAAUCCCGGAGCUCAACUUCGGAACUGCCUCUGAUACAGCACGUCUUGAGUCCGGAAGAGGUGGGUGGAAUUCCUAGUGUAGAGGUGAAAUUCGUAGAUAUUAGGAAGAACACCGGUGGCGAAGGCGGCCCACUGGUCCGGUACUGACGCUCAGGAGCGAAAGCGUGGGGAGCGAUCAGG